CGUACUUACUCAAUUUUUUUAUUUUCUAAAUUUCGUAACGAGCUAAAAUACUUAGAGAUGUGGUAACACGCGAAAGAAAAACUAAACUCCAAAAAAAUUACAAUGAAAAGCACAAUUUUGUUAUUACCUUUACUAAUGCCUCUAUUGUUGGUGUCUGCAGAUAUUAAAAAAGCAAUAAAUGAUGAAGAACAAGAUCAUCAACUAAAUCCCUGGGAAGGUAUACAGGACGUGAUUAAAUUGAGAGACAAAUUUUUCUUCGAAUUUAUAAGCAGAUUUGCCUUGUACUGGCUGAAAAAUAUUACCAAGUUGAGGGUCGAAAUAGAAAAUUUUGUACUUCUUUCUUAUAAAACGACCAAGAGCUUUGGUAGAAUAAUAAACAAAUAUUAUUCUAAUUUACUCAAGGCAUUGUUUGAUUCAUUUGAAGAGGCAUUACGUGUAAUUGAUCCAGAAGAUGAUAAGAAAGGUCACAGUGGUCAUCGCAAGUCUAGUAAACCUAAGCCUCCAUUAGAUAACUUAACGAAGGUAGAAAGUUAAAGAGAUAAUAAUGUGUGAAAUUAACAACAAUAAUAAAAAUGUAAGUACAUAUAUAUUCUAAAAAUAAAUAAAUAAUGUUUAAUAAACUCA